rnacentral:rRNA from 1 species
UACGAAGGGGGCUAGCGUUGUUCGGAAUUACUGGGCGUAAAGCGUAUGCAGGCGGAUUGUUAAGUCAGGGGUGAAAUCCUGAGGCUCAACCUCAGAACUGCCUUUGAUACUGGCAAUCUUGAGUCCGGGAGAGGUUAGUGGAACUGCGAGUGUAGAGGUGAAAUUCGUAGAUAUUCGCAAGAACACCAGUGGCGAAGGCGGCUAACUGGCCCGGUACUGACGCUGAGGCACGAAAGCGUGGGGAGCAAACAGG